GAUGAACGCUGGCGGCGUGCUUAACACAUGCAAGUCGAACGAACGACUAUUAACAGAACCUUUCGGGGCGAAGAAUAUAGAAGUUAGUGGCGGACGGGUGCGUAACGCGUGGGUAAUCUGCCUUUGUCAAAGGAAUAACUAUUCGAAAGAAUAGCUAAAACCGUAUAACAUAUUAAUAGGGCAUCCUAAUAAUAUCAAAACGAUAGUGGACAAAGAUGAGCCCGCGUCUGAUUAGCUAGUUGGUGAGAUAAAAGCCCACCAAGGCAACGAUCAGUAGCCGACCUGAGAGGGUGAACGGCCACAUUGGAACUGAGACACGGUCCAAACUCCUACGGGAGGCAGCAGUGGGGAAUAUUGCACAAUGGGGGGAACCCUGAUGCAGCGACGCCGCGUGAGCGAAGAAGGUUUUCGAAUCGUAAAGCUCUGUCCUAUGAGAAGAUAAUGACGGUAUCAUAGGAGGAAGCCCCGGCUAAAUACGUGCCAGCAGCCGCGGUAAUACGUAUGGGGCGAGCGUUGUCCGGAAUUAUUGGGCGUAAAGGGUACGUAGGCGGUUUUUUAAGUCAGGUGUGAAAGCGUGAGGCUUAACCUCAUUAAGCACUUGAAACUGGAAGACUUGAGUGAAGGAGAGGAAAGUGGAAUUCCUAGUGUAGCGGUGAAAUGCGUAGAUAUUAGGAGGAAUACCGGUGGCGAAGGCGACUUUCUGGACUGCAACUGACACUGAGGCACGAAAGCGUGGGGAGCAAACAGG
rnacentral:rRNA from 1 species